GGGUCUCGGCGGGGAUGUGGGGCCGCGAGUGAGUGUGGUAACUCUUGGUUUUGCCAGCUCCCCGAGAGCCCGAACCGGGGCUUGAGAGCCUCGCCACCCCGGCUGACGUUCCGGCCGUGGGCUCGGGGGCUCUGUGUGUGAUCCCGCCUGUCUGGGACCCGCAGCGACCACCUACCCAGCGCAGUCAGGGGCGGGGCUGAGACCCGGAGCGGGACCCCGGCUGCCGAGUCCAGGUGUCCCGCGGGUCUCGAUUCGGGGAGCAGAAAACGCCAGGUCUUCAAGGAUGUCUGCGGCCACCAUGCCUGACCCAUUUGGCUGCAGCCUUGUGUGUGCUGGUCUGGUGUGGACGGUGGAAGUGUGAUUCUGCUGAAUGUCAGUGUGACCCCUCGUGCUCAGCUGUAUCUCAGGGAGGAGGACAGGUGCUGGAGCAGCUCGUGCCAGCUGAGCAGCCAACUGCAGAAACGUCAGGUGGGUGGCAGCAUUCAUGGGCACGCUGGAGACACAGUUCCAGGCAUCGGCCACUGGCAGGGAGGCUGAUGGCAGCCCCCCCCCCGCCCCCCACACUGUACACAUUCUGACUUCGCUUCUUCCUAGAGUUAGCAGUUUUGGCAGGCCGUGUCUGGUUUGUGUCCACAGCCUGCCUGUCAGGAGUGAAGACAGAACAUCUGACUUUUGGAUCCGUAAUGGGGGUGGGGGCUCCCCAGAAGAGAAGAGGCUUUGAGUCCUGGCCAGUGUCCACUACUCAGUC